ensembl:lncRNA
GGGUGUGGGUAGGUACGUGAAAUCUGUGUGAGAUCAAUAAGUGCGUGUGUGCACGUGAGAUCAGUAUGAGAUCAGCGUGUAUUGUAUUCACAGCGCGGCACGCCUAGGGGGCCAGGCCAGACCUGAAAAACCAGCCGCCUCCUUCUCUCCGAUUCACCACAGUAGAGCGCGCCACACACACCUGUCAGCCAGCCACACAGCCUUACUGGACUAUGCCCUGUUCUGUGGACUGAGGGGUUUGCACUGUGGGGAGACAUUUUUCCACAAGCAGGUGCGAUCGAACAGCACACUGGUGAAGAUGCAAGCCAACACAGCUUCUCCCGUGACCAACCUCACCACGGCCACGACCAAAUCGCGAGAACAAAUCCUCAUGCAGAGUGCAGGCGCCAUGAUCGCAAUUAUUGUUAUCGGCAUCGUCCUCAUCCUCAGCAUACUACUCAUCAUACUGAAGACAUAUAACAAGAAGAUGCACACAAGGAGGAUACUCAAUGGGACUUCCACCAAACCACGUAAAAACACGACCUCAACAACAAUGACGACACUGCAGAUGGAGAACAUGCGAGGCAGUGCCAACAUGCGAGGCAGCGCCAACAUGGGAGGCUUAGUACACUUGCCCAACAUCUCGGAGAACGGGUUCCAUUUACCACGAGCCGAGGUGGCUAACACGGCUGAACGAAUCAGCAUGAACAGUGGCUCCACUGUGGUCACGAUACAUAACACGCCAUCGAUCGAAAAUACGUAAAAAAACAAACAAAAAAAACAACAACCAAUAUGUGACUUCAAUGGGCUCCAUUGUGCUGUGUGAUGAGAAAACACACCCCCACAACGAACAAACUGAUCAGAGGAUGAUGACCAGGACAUGGAAAAACAAAAGACAGACCAAACAUUGAAUUACUGGCAUGUUGAGACAAACAUGAGCACCUCUGAAGGCCGAAUGUAGUCAAUGGACCACUGGGUCAGACUGUGGUCAAAUGGACCACAGGGACUCUCAGAGCUAAGCGUGGGCAAAUGGACCACUGGGGACAUUUAGGGUUCAUUAUAGUACUGAGAAAACCAUUCCACCAGGACCAGUGGCCAUUUCACCUAAUAACCCUACUUUGUGGUCUCUGGAAAAUGAAACUAUCCAGUUUUAUAAUAGGGACCUCACAUGUCAUGACUGAACAAGUAAUACAGUGUGUGGUAUCACAUAUAAACAGUUUCCUGUGAGUCCAAGUGCAAAGACAGUAAUAAAAAGAGUGAAGGUUGUAACGUGUAACUAUUGCACUAACAAUAACUGAUGUUUCCCUUUACUUAAAACUAAGAUCAACAGAAAACCCUUUUAGUCUAAGGGCAGUUGUUAAAUGGUCAGUAGAUGUUUAAUAUGCCACCACAGCAUUGCUGAAUUCUCGAACCAGAAGAAGCUGUAACAAACAAAAGGUGUAUAUUAACACAUCUGUGUACAUCAUUCUAAUAGGUUGUCGUUUCUAUAGCAACAGCUCAUUCACACAUUAAAAAUGUGUUGUUAUUUAAAUGUAGACUCAUUGAUCAUGUGAUGUUUUCUUGAGGAGACAUUUAUUUGAACAUGUUUGGAAGGAGUCUCCAGUGUCAGCACUUUGUAACAGUUUUCUGCCAUGUGAAAGUCUUCAGGAUGGAGGACUUUGCACAUUGAGAUUUCUUGUCUUAUUAACUUGAAGAGAAAUUGGGGGAAUAACUGUUUAGUAUUGUAAUGUAAGUGAUUAGUGCAUAUUAGCUGUGUUCGACUAGAACUCGUACACUGUAAUUCCCAACCUCCAGCCAAGAAAAGCUACUUGAAAACGCUACUGAAAAUAAUACACUCCACACGAAACUUCCCUCUUAUUCAUGUCGGGUCGUAUCGUAUCACACCCAGCUCAUGUUGAUUGUUUUCCUAUAAUAGCAUGGACGGUCAUGUUCUGUUCCUUACAUUUAACACAAUUUCAAAACCACAACACGAUAAAGGUCUUAUUAACAGACAAAAGUGGAAGUCUUAACAAAGCUGCUCUUAUGGAGUUUUGUCCAAAUUUCAAACACUAGAGUGAUACAGUUAAAAAUAUAUAUAUAUAAAUAAAUGAAUGAAAUGUUACUUACAUUUUCCCUGAGGUUUAUUAAUAUCUGUCCACAAUCCUGAGGAAACAGAAGAACUGUUCAUCAAAUUUAUACAUUUGACUGAAGAAUUCAUUAAAGCUCUCUACAUGUUAAAUGCAUACGUUUACUAUCACCCAUCUGACGCCCAACAGCCUCCCUAUGUUUUGUGUUUCACAUAAGAAUCUCUUGCUCUUUUCUCAGUAAAGAGAAACGUCAAAAUUGUCUAUGGUGCACAUUAUGGAUGUAGUAGAUAGGAUGUAGUGAGAGGAGAAAAAAAACAAACUCCGGAGCAUUUUAAGGCAGUAACUUGAUGUACAAGUUGGUGUUUACUUUAGAAUUUUGCACAUUCACAUGAUAUUGAGUAAAUGAAGCUUUUUAUGUUGUUGGGACAUUAAAAACAAAUGAAAUGAUUUGUG